rnacentral:rRNA from 1 species
AAUUCGAUUGAGUUUGAUCAUGGCUCAGGACGAACGCUGGCGGCGUGCUUAACACAUGCAAGUGGAGCGACGAACCAGGCUUCGGCCUGGGGCAAAGCCGCGAACGGGUGAGUAACACGUGGGUAACCUGCCCUGAUGAUCGGGACAACCCGGGGAAACCCGGGCUAAUACCGAAUGUGCCCGCGGGCCACAAGGCUCGCGCGGAAAGGAAGCUUCGGCCUCCGCAUCGGGAUGGGCCCGCGGCCCAUUAGCUUGUUGGUGGGGUAAUGGCCUACCAAGGCAGCAAGGGGUAGCUGGUCUGAGAGGACGAUCAGCCACACUGGGACUGAGACACGGCCCAGACUCCUACGGGAGGCAGCAGUGGGGAAUCUUGCGCAAUGCGCGAAAGCGUGACGCAGCAACGCCGCGUGGGGGAAGACGGCCUUCGGGUUGUAAACCCCUUUCAGUUGGGACGAAGCUCCGUCGGUGAAUAGCCGGCUGGAGUGACGGUACCUUCAGAAGAAGCCCCGGCUAACUACGUGCCAGCAGCCGCGGUAAUACGUAGGGGGCAAGCGUUGUCCGGAAUCAUUGGGCGUAAAGAGCGUGUAGGCGGCCCGAUAAGUCCGCCGUGAAAGUCCAGGGCUCAACCCUGGAAUGCCGGUGGAUACUGUCGGGCUAGAGUCCGGAAGGGGCGAGUGGAAUUCCUGGUGUAGCGGUGAAAUGC